UACGUAGGGGGCAAGCGUUGUCCGGAUUUAUUGGGCGUAAAGAGCGUGUAGGCGGCCUGAAAGGUCAGCUGUGAAAACUCGAGGCUCAACCUCGAGACGUCGGUUGAAACCAUCUGGCUAGAGUCCGGAAGAGGAGUGUGGAAUUCCCAGUGUAGCGGUGAAAUGCGCAGAUAUCGGGAAGAACACCCGUGGCGAAGGCGGCACUCUGGGACGGUACUGACGCUGAGACGCGAAAGCGUGGGGAGCGAACAGG
rnacentral:rRNA from 1 species